UACUGGGCGUAAAGAGCUCGUAGGUGGUUUGUCGCGUUGUUCGUGAAAUCUCACGGCUUAACUGUGAGCGUGCGGGCGAUACGGGCAGACUUGAGUACUGCAGGGGAGACUGGAAUUCCUGGUGUAGCGGUGGAAUGCGCAGAUAUCAGGAGGAACACCGGUGGCGAAGGCGGGUCUCUGGGCAGUAACUGACGCUGAGGAGCGAAAGCGUGGGGAGCGAACAGGAUUAGAUACCCUGGUAGUCCACGCCGUAAACGGUGGGUACUAGGUGUGGGUUUCCUUCCUUGGGAUCCGUGCCGUAGCUAACGCAUUAAGUACCCCGCCUGGGGAGUACGGCCGCAAGGCUAAAACUCAAAGAAAUUGACGGGGGCCCGCACAAGCGGCGGAGCAUGUGGAUUAAUUCGAUGCAACGCGAAGAACCUUACCUGGGUUUGACAUGCACAGGACGCCGGCAGAGAUGUCGGUUCCCUUGUGGCCUGUGUGCAGGUGGUGCAUGGCUGUCGUCAGCUCGUGUCGUGAGAUGUUGGGUUAGGUCCCGCAACGAGCGCAACCCUUGUCUCAUGUUGCCAGCGGGUAAUGCCGGGGACUCGUGAGAGACUGCCGGGGUCAACUCGGAGGAAGGUGGGGAUGACGUCAAGUCAUCAUGCCCCUUAUGUCCAGGGCUUCACACAUGCUACAAUGGCCGGUACAAAGGGCUGCGAUGCCGCGAGGUUAAGCGAAUCCUUUUAAAGCCGGUCUCAGUUCGGAUCGGGGUCUGCAACUCGACCCCGUGAAGUCGGAGUCGCUAG
rnacentral:rRNA from 1 species